CCUGUGCCUUGAGAUUUUUCUUUUUCUUUUUCUUCUUUUCUAAGCCCAAACACUUGAUCACCGAGUUUCCACCAUCACCAUCAUGAUCAUCAUCAUGUUGCUCACCAUUUGGAGUGUGCUUUCCUAUCUCAUGAACACUUAGAGCAAUAGGUUAGCACAUAGGGUUUUAUCAAUUCACCAAAACCAAACUAGAGCUUUCAUCAUAGCUACAGAAACAUUUGCUCUUUAUCUUUUUUUAUUCCUUUAAAGUGUAGUCUAUAUCGCACUAGAU
rnacentral:lncRNA from 1 species